CAGUAGCCGCGGUAAUACGAAGGGUGCAAGCGCUACUCGGAAUUACUGGGCGUAAAGCGUGCGUAGGCGGUUGGUUAAGUCUGCUGUGAAAGCCCUGGGCUCAACCUGGGAACUGCAGUGGAAACUGGCCAGCUAGAGUGUGUCAGAGGAUGGUGGAAUUCCACGUGUAGCGGUGAAAUGCGUAGAGAUGUGGAGAAACACCAGUGGCGAAGGCGACUCUCUGGUCUGUAACUGACGCUGAGGAGCGAAAGCGUGGGGAGCGAACAGGAUUAGAUACCCCUGUAGUCCCUGUCUCUUAUAC
rnacentral:rRNA from 1 species